rnacentral:misc_RNA from 1 species
GAUGAAGAACGCAGCGAAAUGCGAUACGUAGUGUGAAUUGCAUAAUUCAGUGAAUCAUCGAAUCUUUGAACGCACAUUGCACCUCUCGGUAUUCCGGGAGGUAUGCCUGUUCGAGCGUCAUUUGUACCCUCAAGCUCUGCUUGGUGUUGGGUGUUUGUUCCGCCUCUGUGUGUGAACUCGCCUCAAAACAAUUGGCAGCCGGCGUACUUGUUUCGGAGCGCAGCACAUUUUGCGAUCCAGAUCAACGUACAGCGGCAUCCAAGAAGCCUUAUUUAACGCUCUUGACCUCGGAUCAGGUAGGGAUACCCGCUGAACUUAAGCAUAUCAAUAAGCGGAGGA